AACGAACGCUGGCGGCAUGCCUAACACAUGCAAGUCGAACGAGACCUUCGGGUCUAGUGGCGCACGGGUGCGUAACGCGUGGGAACCUGCCUUUAGGUUCGGAAUAACUCAGAGAAAUUUGAGCUAAUACCGGAUGAUGUCUUCGGACCAAAGAUUUAUCGCCUUUAGAUGGGCCCGCGUAAGAUUAGCUAGUUGGUGGGGUAAAGGCCUACCAAGGCGACGAUCUUUAGCUGGUCUGAGAGGAUGAUCAGCCACACUGGGACUGAGACACGGCCCAGACUCCUACGGGAGGCAGCAGUGGGAAUAUUGGACAAUGGGCGAAAGCCUGAUCCAGCAAUGCCGCGUGAGUGAUGAAGCCUUAGGGUUGUAAAGCUCUUUUA
rnacentral:rRNA from 1 species